CUACCCGGGUAUCUAAUCCUGUUCGCUCCCCACGCUUUCGCUCCUCAGCGUCAGUAUCGGCCCAGAGUCCCGCCUUCGCCACCGGUGUUCCUCCUGAUAUCUGCGCAUUUCACCGCUACACCAGGAAUUCCAGACUCCCCUACCGAACUCUAGUCUGCCCGUAUCGAAUGCAGGCCCGGGGUUGAGCCCCGGGUUUUCACAUUCGACGCGACAAACCGCCUACGAGCUCUUUACGCCCAAUAAUUCCGGACAACGCUUGCACCCUACGUAUUACCGCGGCUGCUGGCAC
rnacentral:rRNA from 1 species